GCUCCUCUGAUGCUGCUUGGCCUGCUGUGUUCAUCCAGCUCUACACUUUGUUAUCUCAGAUUCUCCAGCAUCUGCAGUUCCUACUAUCUCUCAUUGAACACCCUCUUUUGUUUCUCCGGGAUCCAGUGGCCGUUUGGAAUAGAUGUGGGCGGUGCCCGUGCCCCCCACCCUGCUCCUCAGGCACCCCCCCCCCAACUCAAGCCCCAGUGAGACCGGCCCCAAGGGGCUCCCGGAGCCAGCAGUGACAGGCUCCCGCGGGGAGAGACGGAGCUCCCGGACACUCGGUAAAGCAAGGCGCUGCACAGACCCGCUGCUUCCUGCCGGAUGGCAACCGUGUACCCUCCAAAACGAAGCCCCCUGUUGAUGACUCCGGAUCCUCACUAUAUCCCGGGAUAUGCUGGUUAUUGUCCUCAGUAUAAAUACAGUGUUGGACAAUGCUACAGCAAGCUGACCUCUAAACUGCUCACAGAUCCUGCAAUAGCACAUUCUCGACAAUUACUCCUUCAGCCAAAUCAGGAUCAAGAAACUAAUAAUGACGUGGGUGCUGAACAACAUCAAAGUCUACCUCAGAGUCACAAGGUGAUCAGGAAAGGCGAGAAACUGACUGACUUAAUGGUUCCUGGAUACACUGGCUUUGUUCCCAGAAAGAAAAUCUAUUUUUCAAAAACCUACAGAGAAACCUGUGCUGAUGCUGUUGCAGAUUUUGAGAGAGAACAACUUAAGAUUGCUGUGAAAAAACAGGAGAUGGAAUUAAUAAACGCAUUACAGACUGGGACAACUAGAGCGCAGACUGAGCAAGAGAAGAAACUUUUAACAGUCAAUUACAGGACACCUUUUAAAGCAAUUGCUACCAAUCCUGUUCCUUGGAAAUCUGCUAAUUCUUACAAAGCACUGACCUCUCCAUACUUCAUGCAAAAUGAAGACCCAAAUAAACAUUUUAUUUCAGGGUACAAAGGGCAUGUACCCCGAGCUCGAUUUCUGCUUGGAACCAGCUAUCCUGCCCUGACUAAUUAUGCAUUGAUUGAAUUCGACCAAAUACUUAAUAAGACAAAAUCUGCAUCAAUUCCAACUGAGAACUCUGUAAAAGAGAAUGAAACUCUACCCAGGAUUACUGAUGUUUAUCCUUCAGAAAUGGGAAUGAUGCCUCAAUAUACGGGCCAUAUACCAGGAUACAAAUAUCAGUUUGGCCACACUUUUGGACAACUUACACAGAAUGCACUAGGAAUGAGCACCAUCCAGAAACAAGUCAUGGAUUGAAAACCUAAUGGAGCAGAUUAAUAUCAUACCAAUGAUCAAUAUUGUUUAAAAGAUAAUCAACAUUUAGAGAACAAAUCCAAUUGUAUUCAUUUGACUUGUACCAAAAGACUGCACUUAUUUCUUGCAAAGGUGAUAGUGAUUCACUGGCAGUAAUUUUAAAGUGAUUUUAAGCAUUUACAAGAUUCAAAAGAAUUCUUAAAAAACAGUCCUUCUACUUUGGACAUGACUUCAUGCAGAUAAUUCCGGGCACUGGUGAAGCCACACCUGGAAUUCUGACUGCCGUGUACUUGUCCUUGAGGAAGGGCCUACUGGCAUUGGAGGCAAUUCCGAAGAGAUUCACUAGGCUGAUUCCUGGGAUAAAAGGGGUGAUUUAUUGAGAAUAGUCAAACAGGUUCUGUCUUUAAUCACUGGCCCAGCCAAGGAAGCCAACAUCUCCUGAAUGAAGAAAAAUGUCAGUCAUCUCAAACCUAGGAAAUUGUUGCAGUAGUUCAUCAGGGAAGUGUCCUAGCUAGGUUCAACCAUCUUUUGAUUGUUUUGAUUGAUUACGAUCUCCUUCGUAAGGUUAGAAAUAGGGAUGUUCGAUGAUUACACAAUAUUCAUCUUCAUUCAUGAUUCCUCAGAUACUGAAGCAGUACACUUCCAUAUGUAGCAGGACCUUAUCAACAUUCAGGCUAGGGUUGAUAAACAGCAAGUAACAUUUGGCCACAUGAUUGCCAGGCAAUGACUGUCUCUAACAAUAGUGAUUCAAAGAUCUCCAUGUGAUAUUUAAGUGCAUUGCCACUGCCACUUUCUGCCAACAUCCUGGGCGUUACCAUCGACUGGAAGCCAAACUAACCAGCCAUACAUAUAUUGUGGCUAGGACAGGUUGGAGGCUGGAAAAUCUGAGGAAGUAACUCACCUCUGGGUCUGCACAAUGUCCACCAUUUCCAAGGAAUGUCAGGAAUAGAACAGAAUCCUCUCCACUUUCCUGAAUGAUUGCAGCUCCAACACUCAAGAAGCUUGAUAUCAUCCAGAUAAAACAGCCUCUAUACUGGUAUCCCAUCCAAAAGACCUUUAACCAUCAAAGAUGCACAGUGGCAGCAUCUAACAGAUGCAUUGCAACAAUUCAUCAAAGCUCCUUCAACAGCACCUUCCAAAUCCAUGACAUCUAAGGCAGCAGGGAACAACACGGAAAAUUCCCCACCAAGCGAUACACCAUCCUGACUUAGAAAUAUGUCAUCGUUACUUCAAUGUCAAUGGGUCAAAUUCCUGGAAUUUCCUCCCUAAUGGCUUUAUUUGUGUUCCUACUGGAUUGCAGUGGCUCAAGAAGGCAGCUCACACCAUCUUCUCAAGAACAGUUCAGGAUGGGCAACAAAUGCUGGCCCAGCCAACAAUGCCCACAGCCCAUAAAUGAAUCAAUAAAAGACAUUUAACAGGGCUUUAUAACUGAACCUAAUUUUAUCCUGCUUAAUAUUCACAGGCACAAAUUUCCAUCAAGCAUGUUGGUAAAGGAUUCCUGACUUCUCAAGCUGCUAAUGUCUCCAAGUAGCACUCGGUGUUCUGCAAUUUAGAAUUUACUUUGGAAAAAUUCCAUGAGGUUCUGUGCCACAGGAUCAGUAGUGUGUGAACAACACCAAUUUGAAGCAAAGCUCUUUGUUCACUCAGUGGGCUGUGGCCAAUGAUGGAAGCUGUAAUGCAGAACAAUGGGGUAUUAUUAACAGGGAGCUACAAAAAGUUUGCUUUGGGGAAACAGUAAAUUAUAUGUGAACAGUACAAAUCAUAAAGCAACACAUAUUUAAUGCCCAAAUGAUUUACUUAAAAUGUAAAUUUUCAAAAUUAUGUUUUAAUAUGUGCAGAAGUCUCACAUACUGAGAGCAACAACGCAGAUAUAUUCUAAAACUCCAGCAGAUUCAGUCAGCUGAAGAAAAGCAUCAGGCAGGAAUUAAUGCAAUCAUAGAAAAGACAUUCAGUGCAGUAUGACUACAAUAUUCCCAAAACAGUCACUGCAGUUAUAUUAGAGCUUUGAACAAAUAAACUAGCUUUAAAAGUUGAAAAUAACAUUGAAAAUGACAAGUGCUGCUUUUCACCCAUCGACUUUAAAGUAAUUCUCGUUACUUAGUUUUUAAAAGCAAUUUAAUGCUGUAUAUUACCUAAUAUGAUAGAAUGGGGAAUGGUAACACGACAGUUACAGCUAAUGAAAGCUCAGCUGAAGGUAAGCGUGUGUAAAAUAUUAAACAGUUCCUAAAACAAGGUUCGGGUAUUCCAAUUGAGCGCACUAUAACAGAUCAUAAGAAAAUAUGGGCUGUAACAGUUUUUAUUUUAGAUUUUCAACUUACGCAAUUCACUGAAUGCUUUUAACUAAUGUACACUGGGCUUCCAUACAGUACUUUUCACUUUUAAUAGUUAUUUACAGAUACACAAUAUAUUUACAUGCCAAAUAGCUGCCAGCAAGCACAGAGUCAAAUUUUAUGAUGUGUAUUUCCUAUACGCUUACACCCCACCCUUCUGCAAAACAGACAAAUCCCAAAUUGAAUCAUUUCUGUUUUUGAUUUCAGGCCACAGUUGAUCUGAUUUAAAAAAAAAGGUGAAGCCACUUUGAAAGCAGCUAAAAGAUUGAAAGAAAAAUAAAAGCAUUUAUAUGGUGCCGUUAACAUUACAAAGCAUCCCACGGUACUUUAUGACCAAGCAGGAAGAUAGGGCAGUAGUUCAAGAGGAUGUUGAUGUUUGAGGAAAGGCAAUGGCCUUGUGCAAUUAUCGCUAAGAUCAUUAGCCUGGACACCCAGAUAAUGUUCAUGGCAGAUGGUGGAAUUUGAAUUCAAUAAAAAUCUGAAAUAAAAGUCCAA